GCUUGCUUGGUGGAUCAGUGGCGAACGGGUGAGUAACACGUGAGCAACCUGCCCUGGACUCUGGGAUAAGCGCUGGAAACGGUGUCUAAUACUGGAUAUGAGCCUCUAUCGCAUGGUGGGGGUUGGAAAGAUUUUUCGGUCUGGGAUGGGCUCGCGGCCUAUCAGCUUGUUGGUGAGGUAAUGGCUCACCAAGGCGUCGACGGGUAGCCGGCCUGAGAGGGUGACCGGCCACACUGGGACUGAGACACGGCCCAGACUCCUACGGGAGGCAGCAGUGGGGAAUAUUGCACAAUGGGCGGAAGCCUGAUGCAGCAACGCCGCGUGAGGGAUGACGGCCUUCGGGUUGUAAACCUCUUUUAGCAGGGAAGAAGCGAAAGUGACGGUACCUGCAGAAAAAGCGCCGGCUAACUACGUGCCAGCAGCCGCGGUAAUACGUAGGGCGCAAGCGUUAUCCGGAAUUAUUGGGCGUAAAGAGCUCGUAGGCGGUUUGUCGCGUCUGCUGUGAAAUCCCGAGGCUCAACCUCGGGUCUGCAGUGGGUACGGGCAGACUAGAGUGCGGUAGGGGAGAUUGGAAUUCCUGGUGUAGCGGUGGAAUGCGCAGAUAUCAGGAGGAACACCGAUGGCGAAGGCAGAUCUCUGGGCCGUAACUGACGCUGAGGAGCGAAAGGGUGGGGAGCAAACAGGCUUAGAUACCCUGGUAGUCCACCCCGUAAACGUUGGGAACUAGUUGUGGGGACCAUUCCACGGUUUCCGUGACGCAGCUAACGCAUUAAGUUCCCCGCCUGGGGAGUACGGCCGCAAGGCUAAAACUCAAAGGAAUUGACGGGGACCCGCACAAGCGGCGGAGCAUGCGGAUUAAUUCGAUGCAA
rnacentral:rRNA from 1 species